rnacentral:tRNA from 1 species
GCGAGGGUAUCUAAGCCAGGCCAAAAGAGGUGGACUUAAGAUCCAUUCCCGCAGGGGUCCGUGGGUUCGAAUCCCACCCCUCGCA